rnacentral:rRNA from 1 species
UCGAGAAUCUUCGGCAAUGGGCGCAAGCCUGACCGAGCGACGCCGCGUGCGGGAUGAAGGCCUUCGGGUUGUAAACCGCUGUCGUAGGGGAGGAAGGUCUGGUGUAUAGCCAGGCUUGACCGAUCCUAGGAGGAAGGGCCGGCUAAUCUCGUGCCAGCAGCCGCGGUAAUACGAGAGGCCCAAACGUUAUUCGGAUUUACUGGGCUUAAAGAGUUCGUAGGCGGCGCAGAAAGUGGGGUGUGAAAGCCCUCGGCUCAACCGAGGAAUUGCGCUCCAAACUACUGUGCUCGAGGGACCUAGAGGUGAGCAGAACUGAUGGUGGAGCGGUGAAAUGCGUUGAUAUCAUCAGGAAUACCGGAGGCGAAGGCGGCUCACUGGGGGUCUUCUGACGCUGAGGAACGAAAGCCAGGGGAGCGAACG